CGUAACAAGGUCUCCGUUGGUGAACCAGCGGAGGGAUCAUUACUGAGUUUACGCUCUAUAACCCUUUGUGAACAUACCUAUAACUGUUGCUUCGGCGGGUAGGGUCUCCGCGACCCUCCCGGCCUCCCGCCUCCGGGCGGGUCGGCGCCCGCCGGAGGAUAACCAAACUCUGAUUUAACGACGUUUCUUCUGAGUGGUACAAGCAAAUAAUCAAAACUUUUAACAACGGAUCUCUUGGUUCUGGCAUCGAUGAAGAACGCAGCGAAAUGCGAUAAGUAAUGUGAAUUGCAGAAUUCAGUGAAUCAUCGAAUCUUUGAACGCACAUUGCGCCCGCCAGCAUUCUGGCGGGCAUGCCUGUUCGAGCGUCAUUUCAACCCUCAAGCUCUGCUUGGUGUUGGGGCCCUACAGCUGAUGUAGGCCCUCAAAGGUAGUGGCGGACCCUCCCGGAGCCUCCUUUGCGUAGUAACUUUACGUCUCGCACUGGGAUCCGGAGGGACUCUUGCCGUAAAACCCCCCAAUUUUCCAAAGGUUGACCUCGGAUCAGGUAGGAAUACCCGCUGAACUUAAGCAUAUC
rnacentral:misc_RNA from 1 species